GGACUUUACACCAGGACUGCCUGGUGACCACAGUCUGCCUGGACGAACAGCUGGGAAAGCCAAAUAUUAAGGCCAAGACGACACGACCAGAUGAAUAACAGUUUAGACUGUGGCUGUGGAAUUGGAAUCACGUUUUUCCUCCCCCUUUGAUGAGACAAGGUCAGAACUACUAAGGCAUAGAAGUGACAGCUGACAAUGAUGAAGGAGUCCAAGGAAACACGGAACAGAAAGUCAUAGUUGUCCAGGGCCAACUCUGCCCAGGUCGUUCAGAAAUCCCCACGGGUAGUGCUGGAUUGUAGCACUUCACUUGCUCAUGAGGAGCAGUGUGAGUCAUCGGUGUCAAUCCAUGAUCAAAUGCUCCUUUUUGACAAAGACUUGGGAGUGUGUGAUGAACUAAUUCAAACUAGAAAACUUCAUCAUUUAAGGGAGGCACCAGGCGUCACUCUAAAAGUUAACUUGGUUGGAGCCUUCCUUUCCUUAUGCAACAGGCAUUGCCCUUUGACCAAAAGAUGUCUCACAAGUGCUCCAGGAUUACAUCUACAGGAAGCUGACAGGGCGCUGAUGAAAUCCACAGUGCCCUAGUUUCACAUAUUAUAUUCAACUUAGGAAAAAAAUUUCUAAAUGAGUUUCUCAUUCCAAUAACCUUAGUAACGAAAAUAGAAAUAAUAGCAGAUAAUAUUUAUUAUGCACUUAUUACGCAUCAAGCAACAUGUUGAUAUCCUUAUAGAGAUCAGCUGAUUUAAUCUCCCAACAACCAUAAGAAGUUGAUAUUCUUGUAAUCUCCAAAGUACUGAUGAGGAAAGGAUGCUUUUCCUGACUCCCCCAGGUCCUACUGUAGACAAGAGGCAGAGCUGAAUUUGAAUUCUGACCAAGUGACUCCAGAGACAGUGGAAAUCUGUGAUUCAGGUAGACUUCUUUGUCAUUGGAUCAGGGUGAGAGUGUUUCCAAAAAUAGCAUUCCUUUUUAAAAAAUGUUACUGUGCUCUCUUUUAAUCCUAACUCUAUUCAGGAAAUCUAUUCCUGUGGUUUUAAAGUAAAAUUGAAAUUCUUGGUAAAAAAAUGCACAUGGCAUCAAAAAAACUACAAGAGAGAAACUGAGAAUUUUAAGGUAUGGUUUAUUAAACAGAAAUCAGUCAAUGGUCUGUAGUUUCAUCAACUGCAUGAAUAGUGUCAUCAAACCUAUAAAAUUCUAUAUGCCUUAUUAAAUGGUUUCAUUAAAUAAAAAAUGCAUUAAAACAAAUGUGCUAAUUGAUGGAAUGAUGGGUCUAAAUCAGGAAAUGUAUAAUAGGAAAAACAAAGACUUCAGAUCAAAUAUAGGAAAAAGUUAAAAAUUAUAGGAAAUAUUUAUUACUUUCAAAUGAACUAAUAUAUAUGUGUAGCUAUCCAUACACAUAGUUACUAUACUUUGUUACAUAAGACAUUUUAAAGUGAACAGCUUAUGUUUUGAAGUUCUGCCUCAAAAGGAAAGAUUCAACUACUAAAGAUACCAAUUUGUUUACAAAAAUGGUUAAGGCUCUGAGAAAUAGUGUAACUUCUUAAUACCCUAUAAUCCAAUUUCUUCAGCAAUUUAGCAAAUUCAUAUGCAGAGAUAUUACAAAGAUAUGUACUACCUAGUUCAAAUGAAUCAUAUUUCCCUAAGUUGCAGAGCCUGAGAAUUAAUGUGGAUUCUAAUUCAUAACAUAUUUUGACCUUUUUAUGUAAUGAACUGCCCAUGAUUGUGCUUUUGAAUGACAAAGCUAGAGGAGGAGAAGUAAGAGAAAGGAUCCAGAAUUAUCUGGGCAUUAUGUAUUUAUUUGAAUGCUAAGGAAGGAUUUAAAUGAAUGUAAUAGCAGCAAAUUGCACACUGAUGAUUCAGGCUCCCAUUUAGUUUGGUAUUUUCAGGAAAAUACAGUUACCUUAGCAACUAGCAUAUCACAUGGCACAUGCUGUAGCAUGCAGAAUGUCUCCAAGUCAAAAGCUUGCCCUUCCGGAAGAAGUCAUACCAGGAAACGGGAAAAUAAAUAAACCAACCUCUUCACAUAGUAAAUUAUGUCAUUUAUCUCCCUGACAGGUAAAAGAUAAUUUAUAUUUAAGUGAGUUUUCCUUUGCUACAGUCCUAUCAAAAUGGCAAUACAUAUGUUACAUGGAUGAAGGAAAAAAGGAAAGAAGCUACAUAGCUUAAGGGUAUGAAGUAAAUCUUCAGUUGAAUCAACUCUGAACAUUACAUUGACUGACAUAAACCUAUACAACUGCAUGAGUGUUAUAAGAUACUUUUACAAAUUUAAAUAUUACAUUACUGUUAAACACCAAGAAGUAGAGGUGUUUUUAUCCUGAUGGUAAUAAUUCCAAAAUUCACAAAAUUAUAGUGAACGAAUUUAAAAGUGGGUCUUUACAAGUCCAAAACAACUUGUUUGAAUGUGAAAUAUGCAAUUAAACUGAUUACUAUUUUUAUUGUUACAGAGACCCGAAUCUUACUAAAUCAGAGAAAAAAAUAAAUGCCGUUUUUUUUAAUUCUCUAUGUAUGCACUGAAGGAGAAAUAAAUAUCUGCUGCUUGCCUCCCAAGUGUCCAAAUUUUUCAGCAGUAAGACAGAAAAGGUGCCUGUUUUUGCAGAAUUUACAUUCAAGUUAGGAGAAACAUACAAUAAAAAAGAAAAGAAAAGAAACAGUGUAAAUUAUGCUGUGCUAACUUUCAUGAAGAAUAUGGAACAGACUUCUUCUUCCUUUACCUCUUGCACUCCUCAUACCCUUGUGGAUGUUUCAAUCCUAAAACUGUAAGACGAGGAGAGUGAAGAGGACGCAGGAGGGGUUACA